rnacentral:rRNA from 1 species
GACGUAGGGCGCGAGCGUUGUCCGGAUUUAUUGGGCGUAAAGAGCUCGUAGGCGGCUUGUCGCGUCGACUGUGAAAACCCGUGGCUCAACCAUGUGGUCUGCAGUCGAUACGGGCAGGCUAGAAUUCGGUAGGGGAGACUGGAAUUCCUGGUGUAGCGGUGAAAUGCGCAGAUAUCAGGAGGAACACCGGUGGCGAAGGCGGGUCUCUGGGCCGAUAUUGACGCUGAGGCGCGAAAGCGUGGGGAGCGAACAGG